CUUUCUUGCUGAUACCAAUAAUAAUCUUUUUAUUACAGUCUUAACAAGAGUCAUGCCAGUCAGUGAGGUUCUAAGGAUGGGAGUGGUGGGAGCAGUCCAGGCUGCAGGAAGGAACAUUUUGUCACUGGCAUUGUUUAGAAUUGCUGGUGCAUGCAUGCUGGUAAUAAAAAGCAGACCAACUUUCAGUGUCAGGCUGCCCUAACGAAGUACCAUGGACUGGGUGGCUUAAGCGAUAGACAUUUCUUUCUCACAGCUGUGGAGGUUGGAAGUCGAAGGUCAAGGUGUUGGCAGGGCUGGUUUCUCCUGAGGCCCCUCUUCUUGGCUUGUGGAUGCCCCCUUCUUGCCGUGCCUUCAUGUGGCCUUUUCUCUGAGCCCAUGCAUCCCUGGUGUCUCUGUGUAUCCAAAUUUCCUCUUAUAAGGACACCAGUCACACUGGAUUAGCGUCCACUCAAAUGACCUCAUUUUAACUUAAUCAUCCUUAAAGGCCUUACCUCCAAAUACGGCCCCAUUUUGAGAUACUGGGGGUUCAGGCUUCAACAUAGGAAUUAGAGGGGACACAAGGCAACCCAUCACAAUCACCAAGCCUCAGUGUCCAUGGGGGUGAAAUAUACUCUGCUGCUGUUGGGCACCGCAGAGCCACGCGGCAGGAGAGAGUACAGAAUUGACAGCAACAAUCCACCUAUCAAAGUGAGGUGCUAUCUCCAUUUUUAUAGAUAAAGAAACGGGCCCAAAGACCAGCCCCAGGCCAUACCACAUAUCUAGGAAGCCGCAUCAAGGGGUGCCUUAACGCCAACGCCUCAGACAAAUCCAGGUCUCUUUGCUGCCCUGGAGCGUGGCUGCUCCACCUUUUUCUUGUUCUCAACCCCCAGGCUCUGGACCUGUCUCUGUCCUCAGGACCAUGCACGUGGAAAUUCUGCUGCCGGAGCUGCCAGCCCAUAACUUUUGGGAUAAACUCUCCCAUCAGGUGUCCAGUGACAGCUGCCAGUGGGUGCCAGGCUAACAGGGUAUUUGUGUUCCAGGUCAUCUGGCGUAACUUGCUCCUUUCCCACCCCAGGACUGUCAUCUCAGGGAGCCUGUUCUGGUGACUUCUGGAAAGGCCUGGACUCCUUUGUUCCAUGGAGUCAUCAGGUUUUGUGGGUUCUCUACUGCUGUUC
rnacentral:lncRNA from 1 species